rnacentral:lncRNA from 1 species
AAAACUCCUCAAAAGACAUCUUCUUCUUCUUUCACCAUUAUUGCACCUAUAAAGAAAAGGAAGAAGAUGAAAUUGAGGAACCUUUUGUCAUGAAGACAAAGGUUGUGGAAGUUGAAACUCAAAAGGUUGUAGAGGGAUCCAUUAAUAGAUGAGCAUAAUUAGUUAUGUCUACUCUGUUGGAACAAGCAAAGGAACAACCUGC